rnacentral:rRNA from 1 species
AGAGUUUGAUCAUGGCUCAGGACGAACGCUGGCGGCGUGCUUAACACAUGCAAGUCGAACGGAAAGGUCUCUUCGGAGAUACUCGAGUGGCGAACGGGUGAGUAACACGUGGGCGAUCUGCCCUGCACUUCGGGAUAAGCCUGGGAAACUGGGUCUAAUACCGGAUAGGACCACGGGAUUCAUGUCCUGUGGUGGAAAGCUUUUGCGGUGUGGGAUGGGCCCGCGGCCUAUCAGCUUGUUGGUGGGGUAACGGCCUACCAAGGCGACGACGGGUAGCCGGCCUGAGAGGGUGUCCGGCCACACUGGGACUGAGAUACGGCCCAGACUCCUACGGGAGGCAGCAGUGGGGAAUAUUGCACAAUGGGCGCAAGCCUGAUGCAGCGACGCCGCGUGGGGGAUGACGGCCUUCGGGUUGUAAACCWCUUUCACCAUCGACGAAGGUUCGGGUUUUCUCGGAUUGACGGUAGGUGGAGAAGAAGCACCGGCCAACUACGUGCCAGCAGCCGCGGUAAUACGUAGGGUGCGAGCGUUGUCCGGAAUUACUGGGCGUAAAGAGCUCGUAGGUGGUUUGUCGCGUUGUUCGUGAAAUCUCACRGCUURACUGUGAGCGUGCGGGCGAUACGGGCAGACUAGAGUACUGCAGGGGAGACUGGAAUUCCUGGUGUAGCGGUGGAAUGCGCAGAUAUCAGGAGGAACACCGGUGGCGAAGGCGGGUCUCUGGGCAGUAACUGACGCUGAGGAGCGAAAGCGUGGGGAGCGAACAGGAUUAGAUACCCUGGUAGU